CGUGCAGCUACCUUGGCAUUCUAGCUGUCGGUUCAUAUUCGGGUGGAACUGGCCGUUUGAACACUCUUGAGAACUGUAUUCUCAUAUCCGUAGCCCAUCACUUGACUUCUAGGUAUUCAUUUUUUGAGUCUUUGUAUAUUCUAGACAUUAACCCUGUCCUGUUCAGCUAGCAAGGUACUGCACGGUCCAAACUCGCCCUCCCGGGCGACCAGCUCAUAAUGACCUCCCGCCCUCAGUCUUAUCGCUCAUUUUUUUGUGGGGUGAGUGAGCAGGCCCCGUAGCACUAACUCCUGGAACCAGAGUAUGUGGAACCACAUGAGAGUGAGCUCGAAAACUGUAAAACAGUUGGUUUUACAUCUAUGAUACAUCUUUUAGUAUGUUUAAGAGCUAAUCCCAUCCAUUUGUAAUUUUGAUUGUAAACUUUGGAUAAGAUUUUUUCCAGAAGAAACACUGACAUUUGCUUUGUGAUUGAGUGAGUGUUCGCUGAGAGAACAGCCAAUCGAAAAACAAGACUGUCAUAUCGAGGCCGACAGAGAAGAGCCAACUGCUUCUCCACUUCAGUAGAACACUGAGAUUGGAGAUCAAUAAAGAUGCCAGUGGCCAAUGGCUGAGCAUGGGGUGGGAUCCUUAGAGUUGCGAAGGCUAGGAUGCACAAAGGAACAGAGGAGAAUCUGGGACGCAGGAGCUGCAGGAAAGAAAGCCAACCAGCCAUGUGAGAAUUUGGGAAAGAAGGAAGAGAAUACCAGAACAGGAAUAGUGUGCCCACUUCUCCUCCCCAAUCUGGGUAACAACUGGAUAUUAACCUUUAAUAAACAGCCGAUUGUCAAGAGUUUCUGAACCAAACUGUGUUUUCGACUGUGCAAAAGAACGUAAAUUCCAGGAACCAAACUCACGUCAUCGGUAUUGGCAACCAGUUCAUCUGCGCUGAGCACACCUGUAGGCCUCCUGCUCUGAGCCUUUAGCUGGCGCUGCAUGAUCUGGAACAUGGACACGUCUGCUUUCCCUUCAUAUCUUACAAGUUCCACAGUCAGGACAAGAUAAAAUCAACAUACAACCUUGAAUUUCAGACAAUAAUUAUUUUUUGCUACAUGACUAGAAUUUUUUAUAUUAUUAAAUAAUUCAGAAAUAUUAUACUUGAAUUAAAGUAAAAGCUUGCAUCGCAUGAGAAAAAAUCUUAUAUAUGGAUGGGGCACAUGACUUGGAGCAGCAGAGAGAGUGGGCGUGACUUCUGGACACCUUGAAGUGGAGGUUUUAUUACGUGGAAUAAGGCUGAACUGAAAAACAACAACAUGUCUGCCUGAGAGUAGUGGAGCUGUCAUUGUCUGAAGUUGGCGAGCAAGGCUAGAUCUGGGGUAAGGAAUCUUCUUGCUGUUCUCCCUGCACAGUUCCCACCCGCUUCUCUCAGUCUUAAAAUGAAUAAAAUGAAUAGACUGUCC
rnacentral:lncRNA from 1 species